rnacentral:rRNA from 1 species
GAUGAACGCUGGCGGCGUGCCUAAUACAUGCAAGUCGAGCGAACGGACGAGAAGCUUGCUUCUCUGAUGUUAGCGGCGGACGGGUGAGUAACACGUGGAUAACCUACCUAUAAGACUGGGAUAACUUCGGGAAACCGGAGCUAAUACCGGAUAAUAUUUUGAACCAUGGUUCAAAAGUGAAAGACGGUCUUGCUGUCACUUAUAGAUGGAUCCGCGCUGCAUUAGCUAGUUGGUAAGGUAACGGCUUACCAAGGCAACGAUGCAUAGCCGACCUGAGAGGGUGAUCGGCCACACUGGAACUGAGACACGGUCCAGACUCCUAAGGGAGGCAGCAGUAGGGAAUCUUCCGCAAUGGGCGAAAGCCUGACGGAGCAACGCCGCGUGAGUGAUGAAGGUCUUCGGAUCGUAAAACUCUGUUAUUAGGGAAGAACAUAUGUGUAAGUAACUGUGCACAUCGUGACGGUACCUAAUCAGAAAGCCACGGCUAACUACGUG